rnacentral:rRNA from 1 species
GACGUAGGGCGCGAGCGUUGUCCGGAUUUAUUGGGCGUAAAGAGCUCGUAGGCGGCUUGUCGCGUCGUCCGUGAAAACUUGGGGCUCAACCCCAAGCUUGCGGUCGAUACGGGCAGGCUAGAGUUCGGUAGGGGAGACUGGAAUUCCUGGUGUAGCGGUGAAAUGCGCAGAUAUCAGGAGGAACACCGGUGGCGAAGGCGGGUCUCUGGGCCGAUACUGACGCUGAUGUGCGAAAGCUAGGGGAGCAAACGGG